rnacentral:rRNA from 1 species
GACGAACGCUGGCGGCGUGCUUAACACAUGCAAGUCGAACGGAAAGGCCCUGCUUGCAGGGUACUCGAGUGGCGAACGGGUGAGUAACACGUGGGUGAUCUGCCCGGCACUUCGGGAUAAGCCUGGGAAACGGGGUCUAAUACCGGAUAGGAGCCAGUUUGAGUGGGAUGGUUGGGAAGUUUUUUCGGUGUAGGAUGAGCUCGGGGCCUAUCGGCUUGUUGGUGGGGUAAUGGCCUACCAAGGCGGCGACGGGUAGCCGGCCUGAGAGGGUGGACGGCCACAUUGGGACUGAGAUACGGCCCAGACUCCUACGGGAGGCAGCAGUGGGGAAUAUUGCACAAUGGGCGCAAGCCUGAUGCAGCGACGCCGCGUGGGGGAUGACGGCCUUCGGGUUGUAAACUCCUUUCGCUAGGGACGAAGCUUUUUGUGACGGUACCUAGAUAAGAAGCACCGGCUAACUACGUG